GUGGGGAAUAUUGGACAAUGGGCGAAAGCCUGAUCCAGCCAUGCCGCGUGUGUGAAGAAGGUCUUCGGAUUGUAAAGCACUUUAAGUUGGGAGGAAGGGCAGUAAGUUAAUACCUUGCUGUUUUGACGUUACCGACAGAAUAAGCACCGGCUAACUUCGUGCCAGCAGCCGCGGUAAUACGAAGGGUGCAAGCGUUAAUCGGAAUUACUGGGCGUAAAGCGCGCGUAGGUGGUUUUGUAAGUUGGAGGUGAAAUCCCCGGGCUCAACCUGGGAACUGCCACCAAAACUGCAUGACUAGAGUACGGUAGAGGGUAGUGGAAUUUCCUGUGUAGCGGUGAAAUGCGUAGAUAUAGGAAGGAACACCAGUGGCGAAGGCGACUACCUGGACUGAUACUGACACUGAGGUGCGAAAGCGUGGGGAGCAAACAGGAUUAGAUACCCUUGUAGUCC
rnacentral:rRNA from 1 species